AUGUUUGAAGUCAGAUCACAAAAGAUGUUAAAAAAAUAACAUUUCAUGAGACAUGCUGUGUAAAAGUAAAGUUCAAGAUUUUAUAACGUAAUUAAUUUAUGAUACGUCAUUCAGUUCACACAAGUCAGCUUAUUCAUGUGCUCAAAAAAUGAAAGUUAAAUUGACAUAUUUUAAGAACUGUUGAGGAACGCGCUAACUUUUUAGAUGAUGCGCAUGAAAGCACACUGUGUUGGUCAGGUGGAGUAUUUAAAAGGGUGUUUUUUUUUAAAAAACACCAGAUCACGUUGAGAUGUCAACAACCUUCGAGUGUCCCGAUAAGGAAGAAAGUAGGUGGCUAAUGUUUGACAAGACUGUUGUGAUGAAGGAUCAAAGGUCCCAGUCUGUUUUUCUGUCACAGCCUCUUUCACACUUGAGAGGGAUUUCUGUCUGGGAGAGAGCAUAUUUCAUGAGGGCACCACGUCAUCUUCAUCAUCGUGAUGGAACUGGCCUUUUAUCCGGCGCUGGCACUGAUGUAUUUCUUUGGAGUGAUGAAGGCCGCGAAGGAUGACCGGGUGGAGCUGACCGACCACGCGUCGAUGAACGUGUUCUGUCUGUUCGUGCUGGCACAGCCGCUGUGUCUCAUAAUCGGUGGAUACACUGGCAUGGCUACUUACCUUCUCACCGUUCUGGUAUCCUACAACUUCCUGCCAUGGAAAAGCAGCACAAAAAAGCAAGCAAAAGAAAAAGACUCAGAGAAGAAGACAAAGUGAGAGGCAGAAACACACAUUACAUGGAAAUACCAAGAAAGUGGAUUCAAAAGGGGACUGGAAAGUAUUUAAAUAAAGAAAAAAAUUAUAAAUAAAUAGCUAUUUUACAACACAUUAUGUGUGAUUUAACCUAUUGUCAUAAAUCUGUUGUUUUGUCUGCAGUUGUAAUGAUCUGUGACAAAGUAUCUGUAUUUUCAUACACAAAGUGACCCAUUUUAUGAUUCUUGAUGUAGAUGAUGUUGUUGUAAAUACAUUCAGCUGGGUGACUCAAGAGCCACAAGAGAGAAAAUUGCAAACAAAAGGAACAUUAAAUCCAAAAAAACUUCACCAAGUGAAAAAAUAUACAGAAUAGUGCACAGCACAAACAGAGCUAUCCUUGAAAUCAAUCGUUUCUAGACCUACUGGCUGGGAACUUUUCAAAUAAGUUGCAUACUUACUUCCACACCUUUAUGAUCAGGUUAGAUGAGAGGAACAUGGGAACGGGGCAAACUAGCUAGUAUGUUGUGCAAUCUGUUGUUUCGUUUGGGGGGGGUUCCCUUUCUUUUUUCCAUUUUCUUACAACAUUACAGAUAAAUAGAGAGCCAUAAAGGUAUCUUUGGACUGAUUCAACCUAGGUCUUUAUGCUAAGACUCCAUAACAAGCCAUCUAACAAUUAAUGAUGGUGGAGCUCCGGUUAGAGAUCCUUUCCCCAGAUUAACUUAAAUUGUAUGCAAUAAGCAAAAGUUGGAGCUAGGGUCAUAAAGCUCACAGCAACCUUAAUAAGUUGCCCAUAAUACUGAUUUCCCUGUCUCUCAUGGAGUUAAGGAAACUGGCAAGAUAAGUACUGUAGAUAUCAUGAACUUAACCCAUGGUUGGGUUUUUUUGGCCUUUUUCAACAUUAUUGACAGACAGUAAGAGGAAAGCAGAGGGAGAGCGUCACCUGCUCAACACUGAGUCAAACCAGCGCCCCCUUAGCCCUAAACCCAUCGCCUGCUUCGUUGCAUGAUGCUUCACGUUAAAAUUGAUUCAGUCAACCACUCACUUUUUUUAUUUACCACAUUUUACAAGACUUAGUUGUUGGUUGUUGGAAGAAUUAACAGUGAAGUGCUCUAUUCUCAGCUGCACUGAUUACACCAGGCGCUGUCACAUCUUAGCCAAAUUAAAUAGUCAGAGGUCACAGUUACGCACUGGAGAUAAUUAUGGCGACAGGAGGAUAGCAUAUUCUAAAAUAGUUUCAGGUCUUCAUCACAGCAAAGGGGAAAUCAUCAAAGGAGUUUGGGCUCAUCAUAAUGGUUUGAGGUAAUUGUUGUAUAACUGUAGAGGCGCACUGUGGUCUCAGGACAGCAGCCACUAAGGGAAAUCAGAACCUGUGUGGAACAGAUCUUCUUAUUCGACUCUUGGCAAGAAGUGUACUUCUCAAAAUGAAAAAUUGUUCCUUUAAAACUGAGAAAAUGAUUCAGUGAACAUCUCCGAAUUAUAAUUACAUUGUUAAUGUCAUAAUAUGAAGCCAAUUAGCUCUGGACUGUAAAGUUUGUCAGUGACAAACAAAGAAAGCGUUGGAUUUCACCUAUGACAGUGACACUGAAUGUGUCUCUGGCCUUAUAGCUGAGUCAUUUCUAGUGAACCUGCCUACUUGAAUAUGACUAAUCUGUCAAUUAAUUAAGUAUUCAGUAUAUUAUACACUCAUGAACAGUGUUUCACAAAAGCUCCCACUAAACAUAAUUAUUAAAUCAGCACUGUGCUUUUUCCGUCUGUGUUCAUGAAUGACUGAGUGUCCCUCUGAUGUGAAUAAGCCUGGUACCACAGAGCGUCGGGGUGUGCGUAAACCCGGACUCAAAGAAAGAGUGCAUAAUGGGAUUAGACUGUGGUAUAUGGGUGAUAGUCCAAGGCUGUGCUCAGUGGGUGCACAAAUGUGCAAAUGCUUGCUGUUUGAGUGAAAAACAGUGGUUUGUUUUUUUGCAGGAAAAGAAGUUUAUUAGUUCUUCAGCGCUAAUAUCCUCAGUUCACGACUGUCUCUCAGAGUACCUCUCACUUAUUUCUCUUCCCAAGUGUGAAUUUAUGUAGAGUGAAUAAGGUUCUAACCUAAAGUGUCAAUCAUUCGCUAUAAAGGCUCUAAUUCCACAGUUAUUAUCCGUAUAUAUGUUCUUUCAAGGUAUAGCAUUAGCAAAUUGUUCAGCUUUUGCGCUCCACACAUUUGUUCAGUUUCCUAUUCAAUAUGUGUGGAGCAUGUUCUCAGUUUACCUCCCUUAAUGUCACACUGGAGGUGCUUCCUACUGCGUCUUCAUUUUAUUUAAAAUAAUAAGCCUGCAGCUUCCCAUUUAUUGUAACCCCUCCCCCCCUCAACAUGAUUCUUCUUCUUCCCCAGCCAGCACUCAAAACCAAACUCCUUUCUUUCUUGUGUUUCAUCUUCUGUCUCAGUCUUAAUCCUUUUCCACAGUUGGGCUCGUUUCCAUAAUGUCGCUCCUCCUCGCUUGCAUUAUCAUCAAAAAGGGGGGGAAUCUAAUAAAUUAUAUAAUAAAGUGUAAUUUCUGUUAUUGUCUAUUUAGGAUCAGUCAUAUAAAGUAAGGUUUUAAGAAUUCAGUUGGAAAAGUGUGUGUGCUUCAUAAGUGGCAGCUCAUAACACACUGAGCAGUUGCGACAAUGUCGAUUUUAGUUCUAUUUAUUAUUAAAACUGAAACAAAAGCACCUUUCAUGCUGGUGAAUGUGUAUCAUACAUUAGCUUUGUACUUCAGGCAUAUUCAGUUUGGGCUCUGUUUUGGUUUCCACUGAUUACCAAGGAAAAUGUCUGGGUCUUUAGCUAAAUUAUCCACUAUGUCUAUGCUAACAGGCAGCAUCAAGCUGUGGUUUGGCAGGUGAACAGUACUCAUGUAUGAGCCUUUAAUUUAAAUCCCUUUUAAGAUAUGGGGAGUUGGACUGCGCAACUACUGCUGCUGGUACUGUGAGGCUCACCUGUGAAAAUAAAGACAGCAUUAGUCAGAGUUUUAGGUGUUUAAAGCUUUUGUAACACAAGCAGAAAAUGUUAAAGCUGACAGGAAUAUCAGUAGUUCUGCAAGUAUUUCCUUACUGUAAAAAUCAAAGAGUUGAACUGAGAAUGUCUGCAACGCCCACAGAUUUCUUUCUGCAAACUGUGGAAAGUGACAGACCAGCCAAGUGGCCCACUGACACUGCCAUUAUUGCAAAAACCCAAGGUUACUGUGAUACUGGAAACUUUCAUUUUGUUUUACCUACCAGUACACUCUGAAUAUAGAACACAGCUACACUCUCGGGGUAUUUGGCUGAGUUUCAUAUUGUGUUUUUUAGUUACAAGGUGAUGAAUAUUGUAGGACAGAGACUGAUGGAUCAGCUAGUGAAAACAGACUUACUGGAACGUUGAAGUGUAAUGAAACAGACGGAGGCAUUCAAAUGAAAUUUCAGCAGUUUGCUGUAUGAAGAGAGCAGAUGGAGCACAUGCAGCUGGGAUGUGACAGGGUUUGUGUAUGGAUGUUUAUUUGUUUGUGACUGGCAUCGUCAAAUGGUUUCUGCCUCCUCUGAGGCGUUAAUGGCCAUCGUACAUCACAGUGCUUGUGUCUCCCAUCGCGGCUGGGCCAGGCGCAGCCCGACACAAGUUAAUGAUCAGAGUUUGCAAAGGAAAUGAAGAUUUAUGAGUUUUGGAAAUGCAUCUCUAUCCCUGAAGUAGAAAGAAAUGAAUCUAGUUGAAAAACAUGCCCUCCCAUGUCUACAUUUCAUCGUCUACAACCUGUUGGUCUGUUUGUACUGAAUGAUCAUAACUCCUCUCCCAUCUGCAACGUAAGAGAUCCUUUGGUCUUUCAUAUCAGACAGAUUCGAGAGCUAAGAAGUUAGAAAGCUGGGCAAAUAUGAUAACUAAUAACAAAACUAAGUGUCUGAUAAUGAGUUUCAUCUUCUCCAAAGGGACUUUUGAUAUUUCUUUAUGAUCCACAAUAGAGCUUUGGUAACCUUUAUUUAAAUUAUCCUUUGAAGAAUGCUCAUUACUCAUUCGUCAAGCUUAGUGUGAUAUAUCUGGUACAGGAAUACCACAUAAUCAGCAUAUUCUUACAUUUGAAGGGCUAAAAUCAGUGAAUGUUGAUGACAUUUUGCUUGAAAAACUACUCAAAAUGCGUACAGAAGAAGUCUAAAAGAUCUGAGCCGGAUGCACAAACAUUACAUCGCAUUGAAUUCAAAACCACAAAAUGCACUUGUUUUGAACUGAUUUAUUGUCUUGAGGAAACACUGGAUCCUUCUUUAAAUAUUUAUUUACAUUAUUUACAGUUCAAACCUAUUUUACAUGGGUUGGUUGCAUGCACAUUAUCAUAUAUAUAUAAAAAAAAAAGUACAGAUAUUUACAGUCAUUUAAGAGGGAGUAGUCUGUGCAAUAAAAGGCACACAUGACCUUUGACCCUGCAUGAAUGUCCCAUAAGUACAUUUUUCACAGACACUGCCACAUAUUGUGUUACCAUGCUACACACACCAGGAGAAAAAAAGCACUCGAGCCGCUGCAGAGGAGACGUGUGUUGGUGUGUGAUAGAGAUUCACUGACAAGCAGCAGAGCCGUAAAGUGCCCUCUUGAUUGUGCCUAGACACGAUCCUAUCCUCUCAGCAGCCUGAGGCAAAGUUGAAAGUCUUUUUCAGCCAUAAUGAUAAAGCAAGCAGAGACGGUGACUCACUAAGAACAGAAUUCCACAAUCUGUAGGACAAUCUACAGUCAUCAGAGAUUCAGGAUAUUUGGCGAAUGAUUAUCAAUGUCCUACGUGCACCUUCUGUUUGAUAAGGCAGUAAGGCCUGUUGGAUGAGGCAUGAGGCUAAUGCUGAGAGACUGACUACUUGAGUUUUCCCCCCCCCCAUACAGU